UACGAAGGGGGCUAGCGUUGCUCGGAAUGACUGGGCGUAAAGGGCGCGUAGGCGGCUUGCACCGUCAGAUGUGAAAUUCCUGGGCUUAACCUGGGGGCUGCAUUUGAUACGUGUGGGCUUGAGUGCGGAAGAGGGUCGUGGAAUUCCCAGUGUAGAGGUGAAAUUCGUAGAUAUUGGGAAGAACACCGGCGGCGAAAGCGGCCACCUGGACGAGGACUGACGCUGAGAUGCGAAAGCGUGGGGAGCAAACAGG
rnacentral:rRNA from 1 species